rnacentral:rRNA from 1 species
CCUACGGGAGGCAGCAGUGGGGAAUUUUGGACAAUGGGCGAAAGCCUGAUCCAGCAAUGCCGCGUGAGUGAAGAAGGCCUUCGGGUUGUAAAGCUCUUUUGUCAGGGAAGAAACGGUGAGAGCUAAUAUCUCUUGCUAAUGACGGUACCUGAAGAAUAAGCACCGGCUAACUACGUGCCAGCAGCCGCGGUAAUACGUAGGGUGCAAGCGUUAAUCGGAAUUACUGGGCGUAAAGCGUGCGCAGGCGGUUUUGUAAGUCUGAUGUGAAAUCCCCGGGCUCAACCUGGGAAUUGCAUUGGAGACUGCAAGGCUAGAAUCUGGCAGAGGGGGGUAGAAUUCCACGUGUAGCAGUGAAAUGCGUAGAUAUGUGGAGGAACACCGAUGGCGAAGGCAGCCCCCUGGGUCAAGAUUGACGCUCAUGCACGAAAGCGUGGGGAGCAAACAGGAUUAGAUACCCUGGUAGUCCACGCCCUAAACGAUGUCCACUAGUUGUCGGGUCUUAAUUGACUUGGUAACGCAGCUAACGCGUGAAGUAGACCGCCUGGGGAGUACGGUCGCAAGAUUAAAACUUAAAGGAAUUGACGGCUGAGACGNGACGAGGACGACACGAGGGAGGAGG